GGCUAACGCUGGCGGCGUGUCUUAGCCAUGCAAGUCGAGCGGACUUAUGGGGUAACUUAUAAGUCAGCGGCGGACGGCGGAGUAACACGUAGCUAACCUACCCUCUGGACGGGGAUAACCUACCGAAAGGUGGGCUAAUACCCGAUGUAGUCAUCCUGUAUAGGGGUGAUGAAAGGUGGGCUUCUGUUUACAAGCUCAUGCUGGAGGAGGGGGCUGCGGCCUAUCAGGUAGUUGGUAGGGUAAUAGCCUACCAAGCCGAUGACGGGUAGCCGGCCUGAGAGGGUGACCGGCCCGAGGGGCACUGAGAUACGGGUCCCACUCCUACGGGAGGCAGCAGGCUAGAAAUUUGGGCAAUGGGGGAAACCCUGACCCAGUGACGCCGCGUGGAGGAAGAAGUCCUUCGGGAUGUAAACUUCUGAACUAGCCGAAUAAAAGGACCUGUGGACACACAGGAGAAGAAAGUAGGCUAGGAAAGUACCGGCUAACUACGUGCCAGCAGCCGCGGUAAGACUACGUAGA
rnacentral:rRNA from 1 species